rnacentral:rRNA from 1 species
AACGGUAACAGGAAAUAGCUUGCUAUUUUGCUGACGAGUGGCGCACGGGUGCGUAACGCGUAUACAAUCUACCUUUUGCUGAGGGAUAAGCCCAGAGAAAUUUUGGAUUAAUACCUCAUGGUAUUAUUGAUAGGCAUCUAUUAAAUAAUUUAAAGGUUACGGCAAAAGAUGAGUAUGCGUCCCAUUAGCUAGUUGGCGAGGUAACGGCUCACCAAGGCAACGAUGGGUAGGGGUCCUGAGAGGGAGAUCCCCCACACUGGUACUGAGACACGGACCAGACUCC